rnacentral:misc_RNA from 1 species
UUUCGUAUCUGUUGAGGCCUAUUU